rnacentral:lncRNA from 1 species
UUGGAACUUGAAGUUCUUCCAAGAUCUUGUGGUAUGUCCUCAUAUGUCGAGGACAAGAGUUUUCUAUUCUAGUUUUAUGAUAAGGUUCUUGUAAUAGACUUAAUAGACUUCUUUUGAUUGUAAAGGGCCGUGUCCCUAGUAUGUUUUCACGUUUAUGUCUAAGAUGGCUAAGAGACUUAGUAUUCCGCUUGUGUACUUUUGAAUGAUGUUUUUAAAAGUGACCUUUGACUCUUAUGAGAUUUUAUUUAAAGAGUUUUUAAUUCCGCACUA